rnacentral:rRNA from 1 species
UACGGGGGGGGCAAGCGUUGUUCGGAAUUACUGGGCGUAAAGCGUGCGCAGGCGGUUCGCUAAGACCGAUGUGAAAUCCCCGGGCUUAACCUGGGAACUGCAUUGGUGACUGGCGGGCUAGAGUAUGGCAGAGGGGGGUAGAACUCCACGUGUAGCAGUGAAAUGCGUAGAGAUGUGGAGGAAUACCGAUGGCGAAGGCAGCCCCCUGGGCCAAUACUGACGCUCAUGCACGAAAGCGUGGGGAGCAAACAGG